rnacentral:rRNA from 1 species
GGAGAGACCAAAACGUGGACGUAAUUUGGAACAUUAUUCAGCAAUGAGAUCACUGUGUCGAUCAGCACUCCAAGGAAGGAACCGAGGAAGGUGCCUAGCUACGUACCCCAAAAUUAAGGAUCUACCUAGGCACAUAGCGUGCUUAACCAGAUAAUUACAGGUGCUACACUACACGGAGUGACCUCAUAGCACAUUUUCUAUGGUGCAGCCUGCCACUUGUUGAGAGUGAUCACUUCAUUCCUCCUUGUUACCGGCCUUGCGACAUGCAUGCACAGAGGAAGCAUUAUGUGUGAACUGCGGCAUGCAGAAUAUAUCUGGUUUUACGUGGCCAAAUCUCCGGAGCAACCGCCCUCUUUGACUUACAUCGUACGCACGACUUUUUCUAA